AUCAGAGUGACACACAUAAGCAACCCUGAGUCAUAGCUAGAGUAGGAUCACUUGGGAAGUGCAGUGUCUUAGCCCAACCAGGAAAGGCUGAGCUGGGUCCAAGGAAGGCUCAAGAUUUGCCCACAGAGAAGAGGAGUUAAAGAAGAAGGCGUGUAAUCAUGGAGCUGACUUCCCCAGGAAGGAAAAAGAAGUAGAGAUUUGUUUUAGAGAUUUCAAAAUAAAAGGCACCAAAUCAGAAGAUAUCUAUCCAAGCUUCAAAGCACAAAAAUUAGCUGCCCCAGCCAACUUUCUCUUGGAUGAAGUGAUACCUCCUACUACACCACCGUAUCUGAGCCAGUUUCCGCCAAACAACCAGCAGCUAAUUUAGGUCAGCUUUCACAAAGCUGUGACCUUGGUGCAGCCUUUGGAAAAGUGAAGGGAGAUACAGGUGCAUCGGUCUACAGACCUGAGUCAGGCGAUGCUACAUUAGCAGCCCCAGCGACCGUCUUAUCUUAUGCCUCAGUGGCAAAGUAAAAUGAGCGUAAGUCAAUUAUACCCAGGUUACAUGCUCAAGUCUCCAAACAGAACAUUGGUGCUCUUCCAGAGGACUGCGUUUUGUUCCCAGGACCUACAUCAGGUGGCUCAUAAUUGCCUGUCACUCCAAUUUCUGGAGAUGUGAUGCCCUCUCUUGGGCUCUGCAAGUACUGGCAUGCAACACACACACACACACACACACACACACACACACACACACACACACACACACACCAAUACAUAAAAAACCCUCCCCUGAAGGCUCAAUGAUCUGUGCAGAAGAGAAGGUGGAAAUACCAUUGAGAGUUAGAGAGGACGGGAAACUCCAAGGAAACAGUGUCACCCAGACACAACAAGACUGAUGCACCUAUUUUGCACCAGGCUGCAAGGGCUCACGCCAGACUGAAUCCUAACACUGAAAGGGGGAAACAGACACAGGCUCCCACCCCUAACCAAGAAGCUCUCUGCAAUUAGUACCCAGUUGCAAAGGAAAAAUGAGUUUUCUUCAAUGUUCUCCUUGGAAUGUGAGCUACACUUCAGGGUAGCAGGAGAUGGCGACACAACAUGCGAUCAGUGGUAUUUUUGUGGACUUUGUGUCUCAAACCGCUUUGUUUGGAAAUCUUAUGUCUUACUGGUCUUUUGCUAGUAGGUUUUGGUUUCCAUUAUUCUUGUGUUUGUGUGUAUUCGUGUCCCUUUUUUGUUGCUGUUGUUUUUUUGUUUGUUUUGCUUGCUUUUUUUUUUUUUUUUUUUUUUUUUUUUGUCAAAAGAUAAGGAGCAUGGAGUUGGAUCCAUGGGGAUGUGGGGAG
rnacentral:lncRNA from 1 species